rnacentral:antisense_RNA from 1 species
UUUGAGAGCGCCGAGCCGCAACGGCCGAUCCGUGCCCCGCGCCGCCCCAUACGUCGCGAUCAACGCCUGAGCCUC